AAAAAGUUUAAAAAAUAUUUUUUUCCAAUCCCUCCUAUUUUUGGUGUGCUGCUAUGUUAAAUCCAACUAUGAAAUUAGGAGGUCCUCACUUUUGGUAUUCUACUAUUUAUCAAUAUUUAGAUCUUUCAGAAGUAGAAAUGGCUACACUAGCUGAUGCGAAAGCAUCAAUUAAAGUGAAUGCUCAAACUGUUUAUAAUGCUUAUAAACAGGCG
rnacentral:lncRNA from 1 species